rnacentral:rRNA from 1 species
ACGGGAGGCAGCAGUGGGGAAUAUUGGACAAUGGGGGCAACCCUGAUCCCAGCGAUGCCGCGUGAGUGAAUGAAGUGCCUUCAGGUAUUGUAAAGACUCUUUCAGAUGGGAAGAUAAUGACGGUACCAUCAGAAGAAGCCCCGGCUAAACCGUGCCA